rnacentral:rRNA from 1 species
GACGAACGCUGGAGGCGUGCUUAACACAUGCAAGUCGAACGGUAAGGCCCUUCGGGGUACACGAGUGGCGAACGGGUGAGUAACACGUGGGUGAUCUGCCCUGCACUUCGGGAUAAGCCUGGGAAACUGGGUCUAAUACCGGAUAGGACUCCGGACUGCAUGGUCUGGGGUGGAAAGCUUUUGCGGUGUGGGAUGGGCCCGCGGGCUAUGAGCUUGGUGGUGUGGUGAGGGCCUACCAAGGCGACGACGGGUAGCCGGGCUGAGAGGGUGACCGGCCAAUCUGGGACUGAGAGACUGCCCAGACUCCUACGGGAGGCAGCAGUGGGGAAUAUUGCACAAUGGGCGCAAGCCUGAUGCAGCGACGCCGCGUGAGGGAUGACGGCCUUCGGGUUGUAAACCUCUUUCAGCAUCGACGAAGCGAAAGUGACGGUAGGUGCAGAAGAAGGACCGGCCAACUACGUGCCAGCGGCCGCCGUAA